rnacentral:rRNA from 1 species
GAUGAACGCUGGCGGCGUGCCUAAUACAUGCAAGUCGAGCGAACGGACGAGAAGCUUGCUUCUCUGAUGUUAGCGGCGGACGGGUGAGUAACACGUGGAUAACCUACCUAUAAGACUGGGAUAACUUCGGGAAACCGGAGCUAAUACCGGAUGAUAUUUUGAACCGCAUGGUUCAAAAGUGAAAGACGGUCUUGCUGUCACUUAUAGAUGGAUCCGCGCUGCAUUAGCUAGUUGGUAAGGUAACGGCUUACCAAGGCAACGAUGCAUAGCCGACCUGAGAGGGUGAUCGGCCACACUGGAACUGGGACACGGUCCAGACUCCUACGGGAGGCAGCAGUAGGGAAUCUUCCGCAAUGGGCGAAAGCCUGACGGAGCAACGCCGCGUGAGUGAUGAAGGUCUUCGGAUCGUAAAACUCUGUUAUUAGGGAAGAGCAUAUGUGUAAGUAACUGUGCACAUCUUGACGGUACCUAAUCAGAAAGCCACGGCUAACUACGUG